UACAGAGGUGGCAAGCGUUGUUCGGAAUUACUGGGCGUAAAGGGCGCGUAGGCGGUCCGAUAAGUCCCGUGUGAAAGCCCCCGGCUCAACUGGGGAACUGCACGGGAAACUGACGGACUUGAGUUCGGGAGAGGGAAGCGGAAUUCCGGGUGUAGCGGUGAAAUGCGUAGAUAUCCGGAGGAACACCGGUGGCGAAGGCGAGUCCCUGGACAACUCCUGACACUGAGGCACGAAAGCUAGGGGAGCAAACAGG
rnacentral:rRNA from 1 species